AUGGUUUAUGGAUUAAUGGCUCUAGAGAUAACAAACUUGUUGAUUGAAUUUGGAUCCGUAAAUAGUACUGACUUUCACACUAAUGGAAUGCUACCACAAAUUGAGACUGGAACUGUGACAAUCCAGACCAGUGGAACACCUGUUGGGAUCCAGUACUUUGGACAGCUUGAGGAGCAUGGUUACUGGGGCAAUGAGGUUAAACUGUACGAGCAUCAUGUCGAUGCCCUGUUUGCCAUGUUUUUGGCGCAACAAGCCACACAUCAGGUACUAUGUAUGCACCAACAACAAGACAAUUCCCAGGCAAGAAACCUCUCCUUUUGGACGCUGCAAUGCCCUGCUUUUGAACAGCUAGCAUAUUUAGUAGAUUCAGGAAGGAGGAAGGGGCGCGCCCCCAACCUGACACCGCCCAGCUCCCGCUCAAGAGGCGCCACCCAGUGGCGCCCCAACCCCUAG
rnacentral:rRNA from 1 species